rnacentral:rRNA from 1 species
GACGAACGCUGGCGGCGUGCUUAACACAUGCAAGUCGAACGGAAAGGCCCUGCUUUUGUGGGGUGCUCGAGUGGCGAACGGGUGAGUAACACGUGAGUAACCUGCCCUUGACUUUGGGAUAACUUCAGGAAACUGGGGCUAAUACCGGAUAGGAGCUCCUGCUGCAUGGUGGGGGUUGGAAAGUUUCGGCGGUUGGGGAUGGACUCGCGGCUUAUCAGCUUGUUGGUGGGGUAGUGGCUUACCAAGGCUUUGACGGGUAGCCGGCCUGAGAGGGUGACCGGCCACAUUGGGACUGAGAUACGGCCCAGACUCCUACGGGAGGCAGCAGUGGGGAAUAGUGCACAAUGGGCGGAAGCCUGAUGCAGCAACGCCGCGUGCGGGAUGACGGCCUUCGUGUUGUAAACCGCUUUCAGCUGUGACGAAGCGUGAGUGACGGUAAUGGGUAAAGAAGCACCGGCUAACUACGUG